rnacentral:rRNA from 1 species
UAAUACGGAGGAUGCAAGCGUUAUCCGGAUUUAUUGGGUUUAAAGGGUCCGCAGGCGGACUAUUAAGUCAGUGGUGAAAGCCUGCAGCUUAACUGUAGAAUUGCCAUUGAUACUGAUAGUCUUGAGUGUGGUUGAUGUGGGCGGAAUAUGACAUGUAGCGGUGAAAUGCAUAGAGAUGUCAUAGAACACCGAUUGCGAAGGCAGCUCACAAAACCAUUACUGACGCUCAGGGACGAAAGCGUGGGGAGCAAACAGG